GACGAACGCUGGCGGCGUGCUUAACACAUGCCAGUCGAACGGAAAGGCCCUGCGUUUGUGGGGUGCUCGAGUGGCGAACGGGUGAGUAACACGUGAGUAACCUGCCCUUGACUUUGGGAUAACUUCAGGAAACUGGGGCUAAUACCGGAUAGGAGCUCCUGCUGCAUGGUGGGGGUUGGAACGUUUCGGCGGUUGGGGAUGGACUCGCGGCUUAUCAGCUUGUUGGUGGGGUAGUGGCUUACCAAGGCUUUGACGGGUAGCCGGCCUGAGAGGGUGACCGGCCACAUUGGGACUGAGAUACGGCCCAGACUCCUACGGGAGGCAGCAGUGGGGAAUAUUGCACAAUGGGCGGAAGCCUGAUGCAGCAACGCCGCGUGCGGGAUGACGGCCUUCGGGUUGUAAACCGCUUUCGCCUGUGACGAAGCGUGAGUGACGGUAAUGGGUAAAGAAGCACCGGCUAACUACGUG
rnacentral:rRNA from 1 species